AUGACGGCCACCCCACCAUGGCUGGGGACUCAGAGCCUGCAGGGAGCAGGCUGGGCACCGGGGACCUGCGUUUGGGUGAUCCUCGCUGGGUCCCUUGUCCCGGACCAAGCACGAGUGUCUGAGCACUGCACCAAGCUCCGGCGGACGCCAGAGGCCCACAGCCGCCACCUCUCCAUCGCCCUCUCCCGGGCCCUUCCCUGUGCUUCCCACCCCACGGGCUGGCGGGGGCCCCUCUCCCGAGAUCCCCAGUCACACCACGCUGCAGCGGGCUGGGAGCCCCGAGAGGGCGGGGCCUGCGGCCUCUCUACACCCCAGCUCCUGCCAGCGGAAACGCAGCAUGCAGCGUGCCGUGUGCCCACAGAGCGCAGUCAGGACGGGAUCGUUGAUGUCGCUGCUGCUAUCCUUUAUCAGGGCCAUUUUUCAUGGAUCCUUGUAUCAUGUCCAGUGGUUCCAAGAUGUUGCUGAAUGACUUGAAGAUCACAGUGAGCUCCCCCUCAUCUUAGCUCUAGAGACUGCAAUGCAUAAAGAUAAUUUGUUCAGCAGAGUGAGGACUGCUUUGCCAGGAGCGCCGAGUGAGUAAUCAAUCAAUCAGUCCGAGAGCUCAUCUCGCAUAUGGCACGAUGCCCUGCGGUGGAGAUGUGAGAGGCACUGAGGCAAGAUCCUCACACACAGCACGUGGUUUGGUGAGAAAUUCCCACGUCCCUGUUGCCUGAGUUCUAGUCACAGUUUUACACAGUUUUCAUUGCAUGUGAUUCUUGAGUGUCACAUUUUCCAUUUCUUAAUCUGUAUACAAUGAAGAAAUUCCAGUAAGCGGCCGUGUGAUUGUGUGUGUGACAGAGGGAUUCGGAGAGUCGGGAGGGCUUCGUAGGGCCAUCUCGAAGGGAGCCAUGCCCGUGGCCAGGCCUUCUGGGGUCAGGCUGGCAUUGCUUGGGAGGAGGGGACAACCAACAGCCAGUGCAUGGUCACCAGGAGCACUGAGGGAGGGGACAGGGAGGGAGAUGGGAUAAAAUGGGAGUAAUGGGUGGAGGCAGUCCGAUGAAAACGCUUGGUAUUUUUGUUGUCACUGGAAGAAGUAGAC
rnacentral:lncRNA from 1 species